rnacentral:rRNA from 1 species
AUUGAACGCUGGCGGCAGGCUUAACACAUGCAAGUCGAGCGAGCGGCGGACGGGUGAGUAAUGUCUGGGACACUUCCUGAUGGAGGGGGAUAACUACUGGAAACGGUAGCUAAUACCGCAUACCAUCAGCUGUGCCCAGAUGUGAUUAGCUAGUAGGUGGGGUAAUGGCUCACCUAGGCUACGAUCCCUAGCUGGUCUGAGAGGAUGACCAGCAACACUGGAACGGAGACACGGUCCAGAAUCCUACGUGAGGCAGAAGGGGGGAAUAUUGCACAAAGGGCGAAAGCCUGAUGCAGCCAUGCGGAGUGUAUGAAGAAGGCCGUCGGGUUGUAAAGUACUUGCAGCGGGGAGGGGUUACCCGCAGAAGAAGCACCGGCUAACUCCGUGCCAGCAGCCGCGGUAAUAC